rnacentral:lncRNA from 1 species
AGGCCCCCCUUAUCCCCGCCCCCUCGGUUCCCAUUGGCCGCAGCCCCCCCGUUAUCCCCGCCCCCCGGCUGCCAUUGGCCGCACUUGUCGCAGAAGGCGGAGAUGGUUUCCCAGUAGUGCUCGUGCACCGCGAACCACUCGCAGUCGCCGGGCCCGAUGUUGAUGUUCACCGAGCAGAAGUUGUUGUUCUCCUGGUGGCCUGGGGGGGGGGAACCACAACGUGUCACCUCCACCGCGUGUCACCUCCCCCAGUGUCACCUCCACAAUGUGUCACCUCCCCCAAUGUCACCUCCAUGUGCUGUCACCUCCCCAACAUGUCACCUCCACAAUGUGCCACCUCCCCCAAUGUCACCUCCAUGUGCUGUCACCUCCCCAACAUGUCACCUCCAAAAUGUGUCACCUCCCCCAAUGUCACCUCCAUGUGCUGUCACCUCCAAAAUGUGUCACCUCCCCCCCAUGUCACUUCCAUGUGGUGUCACCUCCCCAACAUGUCACCUUCAUGUGGUGUCACCUGCAAAAUGUGUCACCUCCCCCCUAUGUCACCUCCAUGUGCUGUCACCUCCAAAAUGUGUCACCUCCAUGUGGUGUCACCUCCCCAACAUGUCACCUCCAUAAUGUGUCACCUCCCCCAAUGUCACCUCCAUGUGCUGUCACCUCCAAAAUGUGUCACCUCCCCAACGUAUCACCUCCAUGUGGUGUCACCUCCCCAACGUGUCUCCUCCCCCAAUGUCACCUCCAUAAGGUGUCACCUCUCCAACGUGUCACCUUCAUGUGGUGUCACCUCCGCAACGUGUCACCUCCCCCCCAUGUCACCUCCAAACGGUGUCACCUCCCCAAUGUGUCACCUCCAAAGUGUGUCACCUCCCAUGUCACCUCCAUGUGGUGUCACCCCCAAAAUGUCACCUCCCCAACGCGUCACCUCCACAACAUGUCACCUCUCCCCCAUGCCACCUCCAUGUGCUGUCACCUCCAAAAUGUGUCACCUCCCCUAAUGUCACCUCCCCCUGGUGUCACCUACCCAACGUGUCACCUCCCCAACGUGUCACCUCCACUGCAUGUCACCUCCACAGCGUCACCUCCCCCGUCACCUCCAUGUGCUGUCACCUCCAAAAUGUGUCACCUCCACACUGUGUCACCUCCCCAAUGCAUCACCUCCCCCUGGUGUCACCUCCAAAAUGUGUCACCUCCAUGUGCUGUCACCUCCAAAAUGUCACCUCCACAACGUGUCACCUCCAAAAUGUGUCACCUCCCCCCCAUGUCACCCCCAAAAUGUGUCACC